UACGUAGGGAGCAAGCGUUGUCCGGAAUCAUUGGGCGUAAAGUGCGCGUAGGCGGCCCCGUAAGUCCGCUGUGAAAGUCAAAGGCUCAACCUUUGAAAGCCGGUGGAUACUGUGGGGCUAGAGUCCGGAAGAGGCGAGUGGAAUUCCUGGUGUAGCGGUGGAAUGCGCAGAUAUCAGGAGGAACACCAAUAGCGAAGGCAGCUCGCUGGGACGGUACUGACGCUAAGGCCGCGAAAGCGUGGGGAGCGAACGAGG
rnacentral:rRNA from 1 species